rnacentral:rRNA from 1 species
CAACAGGGAUUCCCCUAGUAACGGCGAGUGAAGCGGGAACAGCUCAAAUUUGAAAUCUGGCCCUCGGGUCCGAGUUGUAAUUUGUAGAGGAUGCUUUUGGUGCGGUGCCUUCCGAGUUCCCUGGAACGGGACGCCUUAGAGGGUGAGAGCCCCGUACGGUUGGACGCCUAGCCUCUGUAAAGCUCCUUCGACGAGUCGAGUAGUUUGGGAAUGCUGCUCUAAAUGGGAGGUAUAUUUCUUCUAAAGCUAAAUACUGGCCAGAGACCGAUAGCGCACAAGUAGAGUGAUCGAAAGAUGAAAAGCACUUUGAAAAGAGGGUUAAAUAGCACGUGAAAUUGUUGAAAGGGAAGCGUUUAUCACCAGACUUUUUCUGGGGGGAUCAUCCGGUGUUCUCACCGGUGCACUUCCCCCAGUUGAGGCCAGCAUCGGUUUUCGGAGGGGGAUAAAAGCUUCGGGAAUGUGGCUCCCUCGGGAGUGUUAUAGCCCGUUGCAUAAUACCCUUCUGGGGACCGAGGUUCGCGCAUCUGCAAGGAUGCUGGCAUAAUGGUGAUCAACGACCCGUCUUGAAACACGGACCAAGGAGUCGAACAUUUAUGCGAGUGUUUGGGUGUCAAACCCUCACGCGUAAUGAAAGUGAACGGAGGUGAGAGCCCUUACGGGUGCAUCAUCGACCGAUCCUGAUGUCUUCGGAUGGAUUUGAGUAAGAGCAUAACUGUUCGGACCCGAAAGAUGGUGAACUAUGCGUGGAUAGGGUGAAGCCAGGAGAAAUCCUGGUGGAGGCUCGCAGCGGUUCUGACGUGCAAAUCGAUCGUCAAAUCUGCGCAUGGGGGCGAAAGACUAAUCGAACCAUCU